rnacentral:rRNA from 1 species
ACUACUUAACGUUAGUCGACAGGGGGAACGACGACGACGUAGAUGACUUCCAGACCUCGAUGGUUAUAGACCGGAACGUAGUCGACAGGGGGAACGACGACGACGUAGAUGACUUCCAGACCUCGAUGGUUAUAGACCGGAACGUAGUCAUCUUUGUUCGAACGACCAAAGAAACAGUAAACAACUACUACCUUGUUGUAGUUCGAGUUCCAGUGGAAGGUCGGGCGACAAUCUACCUAGGACUUGUGGUAGGAACAGAAGAGGACUGCGACAUCCCAGACGUAGUCGAAAGAAGACAAAAAAACGUAAUCCCCACGGUAGUAGGAGUCCUAGUAGCAAAGGACGUGGUCCCAGACGCCCUAGACUUAGAAAGGAACCAGAGAAGGUGAAAAAGCAUCUACUACACGGUAGUAGGAGUUUUAGAAGGAGGAGAGAUGGGGACACGUCUAUCCAGGUGUUAAAAAACAGUAAUAGUAUGUCGUGUGUUCCUAGUGCGAGUAUUACGUUCGCUAGUUCUCGCGGUGACUGUUGAACUAAUUGUCGUCGGAGAAAUAACCUAAGACGUACUAAAUCCAUGACACUUAGAAACUCUUCACACGUUUGUAGUCGAGAACAAGGUCAAGAAGGUCCGUUGGAUCUUCGUCGUAGAGAAUGUUCUGUCUCUUAUCACUGUACGCCUCCCGCUAGUCCGUUCUCGUACCCUACAGGGGAUCGAAAACUGCACCCGAAAGGUGGAGGGGAAGCGUUUCCUCGUUGUUAUCUAAAGAGGGGUAGUCGUCGUCAUAUCGUUUUACGAGAUAGUCCUUAACUCAUAGAGUUUUUGAGGAGUGCGACCUUUAUACGGGAACGAAGUAGUCUCGAACCCGAAUAACACAAGUCUGAGAAGACCCGGGAUUCCAGGAAUUUAGAAAGGAAGUUUAGGUUCAAACGUCCUAAACCACGACCUCCACCACCUUCCCUAGGAUAAACGAAUUCCCAAAGGACUGGUGAAAAGUCGGUUAAUCGUUUACGUAGCUGGUUGAAGUGUUCGUAGAACACACCAUAUGGGGUACGGAGUCGUCUUCAAAGAAGUAAUCCUAGUGAUAUACUCCAUCGUCUUCCGUCACCUGGUUGGGUCUUGGUCGAAAACAAGCUGAACAGUAUCCGUUGAUCGCGAGAGGUCGGGAAACGUGGAUCUCCUCGACAAGAUCUACUGUCAUGGAACUCGUGAGGAGCUUGAUUUAGGACGUCCCCAAGGACACAAAGUUCAUACAACCCUAGAGGUCCUAAUCAAAAUUAGGCCAAUUGUUCUAGAACUUGUCAAUCACGGCCGCUUAACGAGACACGCCAGACGAGACGUCGUGACCAUAGAGGUUGAAGUAACGGGCCAACACGAACGAGACGACGUGAACCGAGAACUCCGCAAAACGGUCCAAGGAGUGAUAACUUGGUAAAAGACAAGAGGAGGGGUAGUCAGACGAAGCGACGGUGACCUCAUUGGAGUCAUCCUCACUGGCAUCGACGGUGACCUCAUUGGAGUCGUCCUCACUGGCAUCGACGGUGACCUCAUAGGAGUCGGCCUCGUUGGUAUCGGAAGAAUUGUCGCCAAUCUUCUACAUGCUACCUCUUUCUUUUCGGUCAUACCUACCAACCACAUUAACCAUGUAUGAAGAAGAAUCCAAAGAGUCCAAGAUGACCGUGGUGUUAUUGGAGGCCGUGCUGUCCUCGACCAAGACGAUGUCAUUAACGUAGACAUUGUCAUAGACCGAAGAAAAAUGAAAAGAAGAAGCUCGACGGUGACUAAAGAUGGUGGAAACCUGGUCUACCGCGUAUGAGUGGUACGAGUAGGUCCGAACAUUCAAGUUGAGAAGGAAAAACGGAAAACCUCGGUCUCGACGUUGAACGCUCGCCGUACAAGCGAGAAAGUCUUUGUAGUUUCAGCGGUAAUCUUAGAACCUGACGUAUCGGACGAGAUGACCGGUCGGAUAGUGAGAGACCACUGGAGUCACUAAGUAACCGAAAGAGCAACGAUAGUACGUUAAGUCUCAACAGUAUUGGUACGUACAGGUCCAAACGUUAAGGGAACGCGAAAGAAAGUGAUGAACGACGACCCCCAGAGUAGUGAAGUGAUUAGACAAGGCGGUGGAGGUGUACGUGUAGCGCAUUUAUUAGUCCGAGACGUUGGAAAGGAGACACACUGGCGAACGAGACUCAGACCAUCCCAAGGUUUAGACGUCAUCCCCGUCCUAUUAAACAAAACUGACUAAACGAUUCAAACAAACUGAAAAACCGUGGUAUACGACCAUAUACUUCAAGUCUUAUAACUUCCAAACCGACAAGAAGUUGUUCUAAGUAUAGACGGGGUAGAAGUUUGGCAAGACUACUUAGUCUAAGACAGAGGAGUGAGACUUGUACCCGUCGAAACGAGGACCUCAGGAAGACCGGUUAGGAUGGUACGACUGAUAACCUAAAUUGUAAUUAGAAUUGGACACUAUAGGACGGAGAUCCUAGUCUAGGUCUUACACGUGGUAAAUAGACGACAAGUUAUGAAAACAUCCUGAAUUGGAAGUGUGGUACUGGUUGAACUCCGAAGGACGAGGACAUUAGCGGAAGUCCGACGGGAGAGACGGUCAGUGAAUUCUCUAGUCGUACCGAUGGUCGACCGGUUAGGGAGCGAAGGUGAAACCCUCGAAAUAAGACCCGUCGAAAAGGUGGCAUAUAGGCUAGAGAGAGGCUCAUAAAACGUGAGGAACGUAAGAGUCUUAUACCUCCGAGUUUACUACGACGAUUCCAUUGAGGGACUAAUGGUUACCGUAAGGACGGUACCAUCAUUCUUCUUGGUCAGACCGAUAGUACCAUCAACAAAGGUAUUCCUAACUAUAGUAUCGGGCACCGGUUAAGGAAGAAGUGACCGAAGUAGUCUCCAGAGACUCUGGCCUAGGACCCGUUUAAGGACAGUAUAGGGUCCAGGAGUCUUACUUCCGGUAGAUACGAAGACACGACGAAGGGAGAUACGCGCUGAGGCCGUAGUAUGGGUAUUCGUAAUAGACCUGCUCUUUCGAAUCCCUCUCGGUGACGUCGUAGUGCUGGUCGGGGAGGUUACAUGAGGAGUGGGUGCCGAAAACUGUGUGGGUUGGCGUCUUGCGGGAACCUGGAAAGGAAGGGAUUUAAGGGUCGGAACAACUCUCGGUAGAAUAGACCGAAGCUGGCACAGUUCUUGACAAGGCGUCUGAGGGACGAGAGACUCAGUCAGAGACUAGGUCGGGCCCGUUGGUUUGGGUCAAGGAAGACGAAGGCGACACGGAAGUAACGUAGGUAUCGAGACUCGGAGAGUGGUUCCGACAUGGGCAACGUCGAGAAGGUCGUCAGGAACCACAGGGUGUCGGGGUCGUGGUAGCUUAACACCAUGGAGACGUGUACCAUCAUCACGAACGCGGCGAGGCGUUUCGCCGACGGCGCCGCCAUGUCCUGUUAGGACCCCAGCGUCUCCGGCGGGAACUCCGCCAGGUUGUCCCGCCGGUCCCCCGAGGGCUUCACCUUCAACAGGGGGGACUCCUCGAGCUGCUCGCACGCCCGCUUACAGAGGACCAGGUCCAGCCCGUCCUUCCGCCGCUCCGCCUCGGCCAGCAGGAGCCUCUCGUCCGGCAAGGUCCGCAGGUCGCUCUAGUGCGGCGGCUCCAGCCCCUCCAGCAUCUCGAGGUCGCCGUCCCGUUGCGAGACCAGGGGCUGGACUGUGUAGAGGCGGGGGCCGAGGGGCUCGACGCACUAGAGGUCGAGCAGUCUGGGGUAGGGUCUCAGCAGGAGGAGGAGGAGACGGAGGAGGCGGAGGACGAGGAGGAGGAGGACCGGCGGCGCUAAGACGAGGAGC